CUACGGGUCGCUCCAGUGGGGAAUAUUGGACAAUGGGGGAAACCCUGAUCCAGCAAUGUCGCGUGUGUGAAGAAGGCCUGCGGGUUGUAAAGCACUUUCGGUUGGGAGGACUGCUUCUAGCACUAAUAUUGUUGGAAGUUGACGUUACCUUCAGAAGAAGCACCGGCUAACUCCGUGCCAGCAGCCGCGGUAAUACAGAGGGUGCAAGCGUUAAUCGGAAUUACUGGGCGUAAAGCGCGCGUAGGCGGCUAGAUCAGUCGGGUGUGAAAGCCCCGGGCUUAACCUGGGAACUGCAUCCGAUACUGUCUAGCUUGAGUACAGGAGAGGAGAGUGGAGUUCCACAUGUAGCGGUGAAAUGCGUAGAUAUGUGGAGGAACACCAAUGGCGAAGGCAGCUCUCUGGCCUGAUACUGACGCUGAGGUGCGAAAGCGUGGGGAGCAAACAGGAUUAGAUACCCCAGUAGUC
rnacentral:rRNA from 1 species